AUGAGGUUUAAGGUCAAGAGGCCCUUCCUCCUUGAUUUUCUAGUGCUUACUAUCCUGUUCCUUGCAUGGAGCUUGUUCGUCACCGGUGAAAAAAUGGAAAACAUAGCUCAUGCAAAAGAUAUAGCAGAAUUGUCAGGAGCCGUUACUGUAACACAAAGGAAAAGCCAAACUUUGCUCUUAGCAAAACUAAUGCAGAAGAAGCCGCCUGAACCGCCGCCGCCAAGUCUUACGGCUCCCCCAGGGUCUCGUCCUUAACAGACAUUCCUUGUACUUCAUAUGUUAGAUCAUGUGUUAGACAUCUCUUGAUGUGGCGUAAAUGUCAAAAAUAGCAUAAUAUCGAAAUCAAAAUAGCAUAUGCAUUCUAUUCUAAAUGUCAGUUCAGCAGCAACCAUUGAAUAAAAGUGUUAACAUGUUAACACUUCCAGUUAACAUGUUCCUUCAA